AAAUAUGUGGAACAUAUGUGCAUAACCUCCAGUUCAACAGGAAUAAUCUUCAAAAAUAGAUGAACUAUCAUGGAAUUGACUUCAUGGAGUAUAUCAUCAGAAUCAUAUAUUUCAUCAGGACUAUCUGUUUCAUGAGGUUCAGCUGUUUCAUCUAUUUCAUCAGAAUCAUAUAUUUCAUCAGGAUCAUCUGUUUCAUGAGGUUCAGCUGUUUCAUCAGAAUCAUAUAUUUCAUCUGAAUCAUCUGCUUCAUCUAUUUCAUCAGAAUCAUAUAUUUCAUCAGGAUCAUCUGUUUCAUGAGGUUCAGCUGUUUCAUCAGAAUCAUAUAUUUCAUCUGAAUCAUCUGCUUCAUCUAUUUCAUCAAGUUGACAAGACAAAAGGUCAAAACAGAAGUGCCCUACUCUCUCAGCCAUAAGUUGAAACUGAGGUAAGACAUAUUCAACUGUCUCAUGCUCAACAUAACCAUUUACUUUCAGCACAAGAAAAUCUCUUAAAUUUCCACAUAUAUCCCGGAGAAGCUCAUAUUGAGUCAUUAAUGGCAAAAUCAGCUUGGCACAACACUUGGGUAGAUCAUGGAGAUUCACAAGGAGGGCGUCUAAAAGUUCAACCAACUGCGCCUCAGUCAUGGUGGCACUUG
rnacentral:lncRNA from 1 species